rnacentral:rRNA from 1 species
GUGGGGAAUCUUAGACAAUGGGGGAAACCCUGAUCUAGCCAUGCCGCGUGAGCGAUGAAGGCCUUAGGGUUGUAAAGCUCUUUCAGCUGGGAAGAUAAUGACGGUACCAGCAGAAGAAGCCCCGGCUAACUCCGUGCCAGCAGCCGCGGUAAUACGGAGGGGGCUAGCGGUGUUCGGAAUUACUGGGCGUAAAGCGCGCGUAGGCGGACCAGAAAGUUGGAGGUGAAAUCCCAGGGCUCAACCUUGGAACUGCCUUCAAAACUCCUGGUCUGGAGUUCGAGAGAGGUGGGUGGAAUUCCGAGUGUAGAGGUGAAAUUCGUAGAUAUUCGGAGGAACACCAGUGGCGAAGGCGGCUCACUGGCUCGAUACUGACGCUGAGGUGCGAAAGCGUGGGGAGCAAACAGGAUUAGAUACCCGGGUAGUCC